rnacentral:rRNA from 1 species
UUAAAUAGAAGGGUCACAGAAUGCCGACAACUCCGGCGAAGAAGACCUAAGUGGACGAGCGAUUUUAUUUAAUAGUGAUGAAAAAUGCCAUUACUCUAUAAUAAGCGAGCACCAAACUUACGGUGUUAGUUUGAGGGCGAAAGUACCGACCUACUCGGUGUUGUAACCUUCUUGUGCCCUUUCAGAGCCGAGAUUUGAGUUUAUCUUAGAGGUCGAAAGCGACCUGUAGGUACUCUACGAAAGAAAGGUCUGAAAGGAUAUGUCAACAGUUCCAAGAAUCCGAGUGGUGACUGCACCAGUUGGGACGACUUUGGGUAUGGGGGACCACCCCCCACUCAGGUCGAAAGUUAACGGGCUAGCUACCAGGGACGGUACGAACGUAAGUCGUACCGAACCAGGUGGUAACCGUGGACUUCCGACCUCAGAACAAGUCGAGAAGAGGAAUGGGCAGAACUAGUGGUGCGAACCUAUGGAUGUGCAUUUCUUUUAAGAAAUACCACGUUAGGGACGAGAGGAUGUGUUGAGCGAGAAACCCAAUCGCAACUAUACCUCCAAUCGCCUGAGCUUGGCGACUGUAGGACGAACGUUUCGUCCGCGAGAUGGUUGACUCGAUUUGGGGGUCGGUCAUUCAGGACGAACGAAUCGUUCGACACUUACCCGGUAGGACCUGAACUUGGUCCCUGGAGUGGGAAUAGUCCCCACGCGAGAUUGGUGGACUCGAUUAUCGGGUCCUCUAAACCCCACUGGAUCUGUUUCAAAUCCUUGACUUGUAAUUAGUGAUGAGUUGAUUGGUUCGAUUGGACCAACGAUCAUCGAGAAUUGGACUCCAUGGCUAGCUGGAUCUCUACUGUCCUGUGACCGAAUUUUAGGCAUAACCAAGUUCGUAGUUACAGCGCAUAACAUAGGGAC